UCCGUGUGCCAAAAAUAGGCCGCGGGCAAAGCCGCGCCCAAAAAUAACCGCCCGAAGGUCGUCCAGCGGAAAAAGGCCACAAAAACGGGUGGGCUAUAGCCUUGGGGGGUGGGGCUGGCCGACUUCGUCCGCCGGGCUCGGAAUGCCGCGAGACUUUGCGAGGGCCUCCGUGUGCCAAAAAUAGGCCGCGGGCAAAGCCGCGCCAAAAAAUAACUGCCGGAAGGCCGGGGCGCCAAGUUCGUCCAGCGGAAAAAGGCCACAAAAACGGGUGGACUAUAGCCUUGGGGGGUGGGGCUGGCCCACUUCGUCCGCCGGACUUGGAAUGCCGCGAGACGUUACGAGGGGCCUCCGUGUGCCAAAAAUAGGCCGCGGGCAAAGCCGCGCCCAAAAAUAACCGCCCGAAGGCCGGGGCGCCAAGUUCGUCCAGCGGAAAAAGGCCCCAAAAACGGGUGGGGUAUAGCCUUGGGGGUUGGGCUGGCCAACUUCGUCCGCCGGACUCGGAAUGCCGCGAGACUUUGCGAGGGGCCUCCGUGU
rnacentral:lncRNA from 1 species